CAUUGGCUUCGGCAACCUGCACCAGCGCCGGGUCGGAGAGUCAGAGGCCACCCUGAGAUGGACCGAGAUCUUCAGUUGGGGAGGCGCCUCCGGUGAGCUUGCGGCCAGAUGCCCCCUCAGUAGUCCUCCGCAACAGGUGCCGCGCAGCCGAGUGGCGGGCUAGCAUACCGCCUGCCCGCAAUUCGGCCAGGCCUCGAGCCUGCUCCGCCUUCCCGCUGCGGUAGCGCCGCCGGGGAAACGCCGCCACGGGCUGCAUGGGCAGCGCUCGCGCCCCGCCGCUGAGCCGCCGGGGAGCCGUCCAGUCUUCGAAUCCCAGAAACACAAAGAUGGUGCAGACCCAGGCCCUGCUUUGACUGGGAGAAAGAUGCAUUCAGUUGACUAAAACUUGAAUGUCAGGAGAAUUCAGUCACACCCAAAGCAGGAGGUAAUAAGACACCGAAGUGAGGACUUCACAGGCUGCUUGGGAGAAGACAAUCAUCCGUGGGCUUGGGAAAGGGAGAAAUGCCUACUGAGUUUAGGGAAUUGCUUGCUGGAAGAAAUGAUGGUAACUAAGAGGGGCUUGGGUGGGAUGUCGGGUGGGAUGUUGAGCACCUGCAUGGGAGGACACUAGUCUGGCAAGUGGAAGGAGGGUGCAUGAACGAGUUUUAUGUGUAUGUCGGUGUGCCUAGGUAGCUCCUCAGCCUGGCUGGGACCCAAUAUGGCUUCUCCUUUUUCCACACACAAGAGCUCAGGGAUCCUCCAUUCUGGCGUCUCUCACCUCCUUCAUCCCCUACCUCCUGCAGCUCCAGUGCCCUGAGCUCCCAGCCACAGUGCUCACUGCUGGCUCUGGUUAUCCACUACCAGCUGCACCACAAGCAGCUCCAGCUGCUCCACUCUGACACCGAAUCAAUUCUGAGAGGGCAGCCCCAGGGGGUCAGGGAUGAGCCAAGGGAAGAGAGACAGGCUAGGAGUUGACUGCCUGUUGGCCUACUGGCUCUGGUGGGAAGAUACCCAUGAUGUUCCCUAUUAUUGUCAUUUUCUGGAAGGAGCCAGUAUCUUCCUCACCUCUCGGCCUUCCCACUUGCUGUGCCUCCCACCAGAAACACUCUUUCUGUACUUCAUGUAACUGCCAACCAGCUCUACCUGACUCCUGCUGCAACAUCUUCUCCUCCAGGAAGGCUUCCUAGAUGCCCCGAGUCUGGGUCAGGUGCCUCCUGUGAGCCUCCUCUCUGCUCUGUGCCCUAUGCACCCCCAACUGCACCCCAGCCACACCAUGUCAAUGUUUGUGUCCACCACCAGCCAGAAGAGCAGGGAUGGUGUUAUCUUUGUUGCCCAGUGUACCCAGUACACAUUAGAUGCCCAACACAUGUUUCUUAAAUGAGUCCUCAAGGUCACCAGCACCAGUGACCUUGAGCAGGACCUGUCCUGGGAAAUGCAGACUCUCUGUCAGUAUAAUAUUCAGAUAACUUAGACAUUGAAGAUCCUUGAAUUGGGAUCCCUACUGUCUGGAGUUGUCUGGCACCGUCCUUGUGGAAUUGACUCAUCUGUAAAAGGGAGUUAAGGGUACAUCAAUAUCCCGUGUCCAUAAAUUUAGAGGUGACUGGAGAACUCUCACAUAAGCGGCCACCUCACUUCACUGGCUGGAUCAUGGGGCAGCUCUUUCCCAAGCCCGGCGAGUGCCUGCAUGCAAGAAGGCGGGAUUCCUUCUGCCAGCAGUUAGCAUGGCACCUGCUGUGUAAGCAUCUUAAACAUGUGCCUAGAUGCGGGAGGCCAGAUGCGCAAGAUGGACACUCGGCUCCUCCUUCGUCCCCGCCUCUCCUCGCUUCCAGGGUAGCAGCCUCAACAAGGGAAACUAUUGUUCCAGUGGAGGCUGCGAGGAUGUCGGUGAUUUACGCGCCGAGCUGUAGCUGCAAAAGGACAAGGGCAAGUGCCGGCCCGACCUAGGGCCCACCGGUCUCUGGCUUGCUCUUGUGAGUAGGUGCACCCUGCCCGCUUGUGGUGGCCUCAGGGGUAAGAAAUCAGGACCCACCCAGUGAGAGAAAUAACCCAAGCUGUCAGCAACGCGGAAAGAAAUGGGCUAGCAACCUCUUAAAGCAUCCUCACGUACUGCGGCGAUGACUCUGUGCACAGACCAAGGAAGGAGAGAGGCCGCGGAAGUCAGGUAAAGUACUUCCUUGGUGGUCAGAUUCUGGAGGGCUAAACGUGUGUGUGCGUGAAUGAUCAAAAACAACCCUACUUGCGGUGUUGUUCAUGUGGAUGGUGACAAGUCCUACUGCUGGAUGGCGUCAGUGGGUUUCUCUCCGUGGUUCCGUAGCUACCUCAUAUGGCUUAGGGCGGAUUAUGCCAUGGGAUUUAUACCGGCACCCAACAUUAAGAGGGGCCUAAUUCUCCCUUAAGGGGGCAACGAAAGAGGAUAACAUGAGUGGGAAGUGUGCAAGGGACCUUCAGAGGGGGAAAGGGAGGAAACAGGUGAACCUUCUGGUACAGGCAAGGCUAGACAUCCCUGGUUUGAGGUGGUGAGGCUUUGGGGUCAGGCAAGGUGAGACAUCCCUGGUUUGAAGGUUUGAGGCUUUCAGGACAGGCAAGGCAAGCCAUCACCUGGUUUGAGUGGUUGAGCCUUCCGAGGCAGGCAAGGCAAGACAUCCUUGGUUUGAGGGGUUGAGCCUUCUGGGGCAGGCAAAGUGAGACACCCCUGCUUUGAGGGGUUGAGCCUUCCGCAGAUUUCAGGGGGUUGAACCUUACACAAACCUCUGGUGGUAAGAAAAAUACUCAAAACUCCCCUUUCCUUUCAUCUUGGGGAAAGAAAGAGUAGCUCCACUCCCACUGGUCCCUCCUCUAGAGGAAGGGGAAGGGGAAGGAGAGGAGAGAACAGCAGCAUGAGCGGCUGGCAGAGGCAGAGAAAGAGAAACAAAGUCAAAGAGAAAAAGAAGCAGAGAGAGACAGACAAACGGAAUCAGAGAGAGAAAGAGAGAGAUAGUGGUAAAGAGAAAACAGUGUAUCCUAUUCCUUUAAAAUCCAGGGUAAAUUAAAAACCUAUAAUUAAUAAUUGAAGGUCUUCUCAGGAACCUUGUAACACUACAAUACCACCUUGUUGUCAGUGUAAACAAGGGCAUAGCCCAAAAGCACUGAGGCCACUGACAAUCCCUAGCCUUCCUAAUAAAAAUUCUUAACCCAGUAACCUGCGGAUGGUCCAAAUACCUUCAAUCUAUUGUGUCCAAUGCUUUGCUAAUGGAAGAAAGUAGAAAAAUAACUUUUAGAGGAAGCCUCAUUGUGAGCCCACCUUAUCAGGUCAGAACUGUCUUAAAUUAAAAAAAAAAAAAAAGGCAAAAAUGUAGUCCUUACUGACUCAAGAAUCUUAAAGUGUGAGGCCAUUCUGCUAGAAAAAGAUGAUUUAACAUUAACCACUGAAAAUUCCCUUAACCCCUGUAGGUUUCCUAACAGGGGAUCUAAACCUUAAUUACCACACAAAGGUUGGACAAGUAGGUUUCUUAACAGGGAAUCUAAAUCUUAAUUACCACACAAAGGUCGGACCAUACCUAGGAGGAACUCCCUUCUGGACAGAAGGAUAGAUGGUUCCUCCCGGGUGAUUGAAGGAAAAAGACACAAUGGGUUUGAAACUCCUGUAGAAGCAGAGUUAGGAAAAUUGCCUUCUAAUUGGUCUGCUCAAACGUGCGACCUGUUUGCAUUCAGCAAAGCCUUAAAGUACCUACAGAAUCAGGAAGGAGCCAUCUAUACCAGUUCUAAGUUAAUGUGGACUGAACAGGUCUUACUAAUAGCAAAGAAUACUUGAAAUCCCAAACGUACAAAGUUUUCAACAAAAGUAAAAUUUGCUAAAAGUUAGCAGUGUAACAUGCUAACUUAACUUCUAAUCUUCUGUCCUUAGACAGUGUAGUCCCCAUGUCUGUGGACAUGAAGGAGGUUCACUUUGGAAAAGAAUGUUUAUCGUCUUUGAGAGAAAAAAAAAGGGGGGUAG
rnacentral:lncRNA from 1 species